rnacentral:rRNA from 1 species
CCCUUAGAUGUCCGGGGCUGCACGCGCGCUACACUGAAGGAAUCAGCGUGCUAAAACCAUUGUCAAAAGGCAUUGGUAAACCCAUUAAAAUCCUACGUGAUUGGGAUCGGGAAUUGCAAUUAUUUCCCUUGAACGAGGAAUUCCCAGUAAGUGUGGGUCAUAAGCUCGCGUUGAUUACGUCCCUGCCCUUUGUACACACCGCCCGUCGCUGCCCGGGACUGAGCCGUUUCGAGAAAAGCGGGGACUGCUGCUGUCGGGGCUUUCGGGCCUUGGCUUCGGUGGAAACCGCUUUAAUCGCAGUGGCUUGAACCGGGCAAAAGUCGUAACA